rnacentral:rRNA from 1 species
GCGCAGGUGGGUGGUGCGCGUGGGACGGAGUAACGCAUAAAGCAUCUAAGCAUGAAGCCCCCCUCGAGAUGAGAUUUCCCAACUUCGGUUAUAAGAUCCCUCAAAGAUGAUGAGGUGAAUAGGUUCGAGGUGGAAGCGUAGCGAUACGUGGAGCUGACGAAUACUAAUCGAUCGAAGACUUAAUCAACAU